GCUUCAGGGAGUAGCUCAGUGGUGGAGCAUCUACUUUGAAUGCAGAAGGCCUCAGGUUCAACCCCUGGUGCAGGUA